GAAGCUCAUCGGCCACGCCCCCCGCCGGGCGGCGGCGCGCCCCCCUGGCUGCCUCGCCCCCUGCGCGUACUCUCGCUCUCGCACGCGCACUCCCUUCAGGUCCGCCAGCCGCGCCGCCGCCGCCGCCGCCCAGCCCCGCGGAACUCCGGUGGCACCAUGUCUUCGCCUCCCGAAGGGAAACUAGAGACUAAAGCUGGACACCCGCCCGCCGGGGUCUCACUGUGCCUGGCAUGAGAUACUCUACAAACAGCUUUCUCCUGGGAGUUACUUCAGGCCCUUUCUCACCUUCUAUUCCCCAAAGCAUGUGAAAGCUGGUGGAAUGCGGAUUGUGCAGAAACACCCACAUGCUGGAGACACCAAGGAAGAAAAAGACAAGGAUGACCAGGAAUGGGAAAGUCCCAGGUGGGAGACGUCUGGUGACUCUUAAC